CGGGGCGUAGCGCAGCCUGGUGAGCGCGUCCGUCUGGGGGACGGGAGGUCGGAGGUUCAAAUCCUCUCGCCCCGACCA
rnacentral:tRNA from 1 species